AAAAGCUUUCUUUAAUUAAAUAAUUGAAUUUAAUUUUUUAGUGCAAAAGCAAAAAUAAAAAUUAGGGACAAGAAGACCCUAUGAAUUUUUUAUUAAAUUUUAUAUAAAGUUUUAUAAAAUUUAAUUUAAUUGGGGUGAUGGAAAAAGAAUAAAUAUCUUUUUUUUAAAAAAAAUUGGUUCCGUUUUUAGCGAUUAAAUGAAAAAAAUACUCUAGGGAUAACAGCGUAAUAAUUUUGGAUAGUUCAUAUAGAUAAUAUAGUUUGCGACCUCGUUGUUGGAUUAGGAUUCUUUUUUGGUGAAGAAGUUAAAAAAAGAAGUUUGUUCAACUUAUAAUUUCCUACUUGAUCUGAGUUCAGACCGG
rnacentral:rRNA from 1 species